rnacentral:rRNA from 1 species
GAUGAACGCUGGCGGCGUGCUUAAUACAUGCAAGUCGAACGGAAAGGCCCUGCUCUUGUUGGGUUCUCGAUUGGCGAACGGGUGUGUAACACGUGAGUAACCCGUCCUUGUCUUUGUGAUAACUCCACGAAACUGGGGCUAAUAUCGGAUAGGAGCUCCUGCUGCAUGGUGGGCGUUGGAAAGUGUCGGCGGUUGUGGAUAGACUCGCAGCUUAUCAGCUUGUUGGUGGGGUAGUGGCUUACCAAGGUUUCGACGGGUAGCCUGCCUGAGAGGGUGACCGGGGUCCUUGGGACUGAGGUACGGAGCAGAAGCCUACGGGAGGCAACAGUGGAGAAUAUUGCAGAGUAAGCCGGAGCCUGAUGCAACGACGCUGCGUGCGGGAUGACGGCCUUUGGGUUGUGAACCACUUUCGCAUGUGACAAAGCGUGAGUGACGGUAAUGGGUAAGGAAGCACCGGCUAACUACGUG